rnacentral:rRNA from 1 species
CAUGCAGUCGAGCGGAGAGAGGUAGCUUGCUACUGAUCUUAGCGGCGGACGGGUGAGUAAUGCUUAGGAAUCUGCCUAUUAGUGGGGGACAACAUUUCGAAAGGAAUGCUAAUACCGCAUACGUCCUACGGGAGAAAGCAGGGGAUCUUCGGACCUUGCGCUAAUAGAUGAGCCUAAGUCGGAUUAGCUAGUUGGUGGGGUAAAGGCCUACCAAGGCGACGAUCUGUAGCGGGUCUGAGAGGAUGAUCCGCCACACUGGGACUGAGACACGGCCCAGACUCCUACGGGAGGCAGCAGUGGGGAAUAUUGGACAAUGGGCGCAAGCCUGAUCCAGCCAUGCCGCGUGUGUGAAGAAGGCCUUAUGGUUGUAAAGCACUUUAAGCGAGGAGGAGGCUACUUUAGAUAAUACCUAGAGAUAGUGGACGUUACUCGCAGAAUAAGCACCGGCUAACUCUGUGCCAGCAGCCGCGGUAAUACAGAGGGUGCAAGCGUUAAUCGGAUUUACUGGGCGUAAAGCGCGCGUAGGCGGCUAAUUAAGUCAAAUGUGAAAUCCCCGAGCUUAACUUGGGAAUUGCAUUCGAUACUGGUUAGCUAGAGUGUGGGAGAGGAUGGUAGAAUUCCAGGUGUAGCGGUGAAAUGCGUAGAGAUCUGGAGGAAUACCGAUGGCGAAGGCAGCCAUCUGGCCUAACACUGACGCUGAGGUGCGAAAGCAUGGGGAGCAAACAGGAUUAGAUACCCUGGGUAGUCCAUGCCGUAAACGAUGUCUACUAGCCGUUGGGGCCUUUGAGGCUUUAGUGGCGCAGCUAACGCGAUAAGUAGACCGCCUGGGGAGUACGGUCGCAAGACUAAAACCCAAAUGAAUUGACGGGGGCCCGCACAAGCGGUGGAGCAUGUGGUUUAAUUCGAUGCAACGCGAAGAACCUUACCUGGCCUUGACAUAGUAAGAACUUUCCAGAGAUGGAUUGGUGCCUUCGGGAACUUACAUACAGGUGCUGCAUGGCUGUCGUCAGCUCGUGUCGUGAGAUGUUGGGUUAAGUCCCGCAACGAGCGCAACCCUUUUCCUUAUUUGCCAGCGAGUAAUGUCGGGAACUUUAAGGAUACUGCCAGUGACAAACUGGAGGAAGGCGGGGACGACGUCAAGUCAUCAUGGCCCUUACGGCCAGGGCUACACACGUGCUACAAUGGUCGGUACAAAGGGUUGCUACCUAGCGAUAGGAUGCUAAUCUCAAAAAGCCGAUCGUAGUCCGGAUUGGAGUCUGCAACUCGACUCCAUGAAGUCGGAAUCGCUAGUAAUCGCGGAUCAGAAUGCCGCGGUGAAUACGUUCCCGGGCCUUGUACACACCGCCCGUCACACCAUGGGAGUUUGUUGCACCAGAAGUAGCUAGCCUAACUGCAAAGAG